GAGGAAAGGAAUGCAGGAACCAUAUAGGACUCUGCAAUAGCCACAAACAGGCAGAAAGUGGUACUAUUUGUCAAAAACUCCAUUGGAAAAAGCACUGAAAGGAGUUGCUCUGUUAAAGGGGCCUGGAGGCAGAUGAAGACAAACCAUGUGAAAGUUCUCCAAAAGAGCUUGGAUUUAUCUCCUCAAGAGUGACUCUGAAGUUUUAUGUGAAGAAUUGGAGCGGAGAAGAUUUUCAAAACAGCGGCACAGAAGGUUGAGUUUGUGACCCCAUCUAAACAGCCAACACUGAGCUUUGGUUUUUGAGAUGAGCAUCACUGUUGCAUUCUGGAAUAUCUUGAGUGAGCUAGGAAGAACCAAGGAAGGAUUUUAAUGAAGAAGGAAAUUUUUCAAAAGUUUAAUUAAAACAUAAUUCUACAAUGAAUAACUCCUCACAGACUAUUUUGAAUAGGCAUUUUGAGUUUAACUUGAUGUUCAUUUUUGCUUUACAAUUAAUCUUUAAGGCUAGAAUUUUACAAUACUUAUCCAAGUAUAACAGAAGAAGGUUAAACUAACAUAUCCAAUCCUACUUGUUGAAAAUUAAAACAAUAUAAAACUGCACUAUACAGGCUGUACUGUAAUACCUAGUCAAAUUUCUUUGUGUUAAUCAUCUGUUUUCUUUAAACAUUUCUUGUGCUUAUAACAGUAAAAUCUCCUGCAAUGGUA